UUAAGCGACUAAGCGUACACGGUGGAUGCCCUGGCAGUCAGAGGCGAUGAAGGACGUGCUAAUCUGCGAUAAGCGUCGGUAAGGUGAUAUGAACCGUUAUAACCGGCGAUUUCCGAAUGGGGAAACCCAGUGUGUUUCGACACACUAUCAUUAACUGAAUCCAUAGGUUAAUGAGGCGAACCGGGGGAACUGAAACAUCUAAGUACCCCGAGGAAAAGAAAUCAACCGAGAUUCCCCCAGUAGCGGCGAGCGAACGGGGAGCAGCCCAGAGCCUGAAUCAGUGUGUGUGUUAGUGGAAGCGUCUGGAAAGGCGCGCGAUACAGGGUGACAGCCCCGUACACAAAAAUGCACAUGCUGUGAGCUCGAUGAGUAGGGCGGGACACGUGGUAUCCUGUCUGAAUAUGGGGGGACCAUCCUCCAAGGCUAAAUACUCCUGACUGACCGAUAGUGAACCAGUACCGUGAGGGAAAGGCGAAAAGAACCCCGGCGAGGGGAGUGAAAAAGAACCUGAAACCGUGUACGUACAAGCAGUGGGAGCACGCUUAGGCGUGUGACUGCGUACCUUUUGUAUAAUGGGUCAGCGACUUAUAUUCUGUAGCAAGGUUAACCGAAUAGGGAGCCGAAGGGAAACCGAGUCUUAACUGGGCGUUAAGUUGCAGGGUAUAGACCCGAAACCCGGUGAUUCAGCCAUGGGUUGAAGGUUGGGUAACACUAACUGGAGGACCGAACCGACUAAUGUUGAAAAAUUAGCGGAUGACUUGUGGCUGGGGGUGAAAGGCCAAUCAAACCGGGAGAUAGCUGGUUCUCCCCGAAAGCUAUUUAGGUAGCGCCCGUGAAUUCAUCUCCGGGGUAGAGCACUGUUUCGGCAAGGGGUCAUCCCGACUUACCAACCCGAUGCAAACUGCGAAUACCGGAGAAUGUUAUCACGGAGACACACGGCGGGUGCUAACGUCCGUCGUGAAGAGGGAAACAACCCAGACCGCCAGCUAAGGUCCCAAAGUCAUGGUUAAGUGGGAAACGAUGUGGGAAGGCCCAGACAGCCAGGAUGUUGGCUUAGAAGCAGCCAUCAUUUAAAGAAAGCGUAAUAGCUCACUGGUCGAGUCGGCCUGCGCGGAAGAUGUAACGGGGCUAAACCAUGCACCGAAGCUGCGGCAGCGACGCUUAUGCGUUGUUGGGUAGGGGAGUUCUGUAAGCCUGUGAAGGUGUGCUGUGAGGCAUGCUGGAGGUAUCAGAAGUGCGAAUGCUGACAUAAGUAACGAUAAAGCGGGUGAAAAGCCCGCUCGCCGGAAGACCAAGGGUUCCUGUCCAACGUUAAUCGGGGCAGGGUGAGUCGACCCCCUAAGGCGAGGCCGAAAGGCGUAGUCGAUGGGAAACAGGUUAAUAUUCCUGUACUUGGUGUUACUGCGAAGGGGGGACGGAGAAGGCUAUGUUGGCCGGGCGACGGUUGUCCCGGUUUAAGCGUGUAGGCUGGUUUUCCAGGCAAAUCCGGAAAAUCAAGGCUGAGGCGUGAUGACGAGGCACUACGGUGCUGAAGCAACAAAUGCCCUGCUUCCAGGAAAAGCCUCUAAGCAUCAGGUAACAUCAAAUCGUACCCCAAACCGACACAGGUGGUCAGGUAGAGAAUACCAAGGCGCUUGAGAGAACUCGGGUGAAGGAACUAGGCAAAAUGGUGCCGUAACUUCGGGAGAAGGCACGCUGAUAUGUAGGUGAGGUCCCUCGCGGAUGGAGCUGAAAUCAGUCGAAGAUACCAGCUGGCUGCAACUGUUUAUUAAAAACACAGCACUGUGCAAACACGAAAGUGGACGUAUACGGUGUGACGCCUGCCCGGUGCCGGAAGGUUAAUUGAUGGGGUUAGCGCAAGCGAAGCUCUUGAUCGAAGCCCCGGUAAACGGCGGCCGUAACUAUAACGGUCCUAAGGUAGCGAAAUUCCUUGUCGGGUAAGUUCCGACCUGCACGAAUGGCGUAAUGAUGGCCAGGCUGUCUCCACCCGAGACUCAGUGAAAUUGAACUCGCUGUGAAGAUGCAGUGUACCCGCGGCAAGACGGAAAGACCCCGUGAACCUUUACUAUAGCUUGACACUGAACAUUGAGCCUUGAUGUGUAGGAUAGGUGGGAGGCUUAGAAGUGUGGACGCCAGUCUGCAUGGAGCCGACCUUGAAAUACCACCCUUUAAUGUUUGAUGUUCUAACGUUGACCCGUAAUCCGGGUUGCGGACAGUGUCUGGUGGGUAGUUUGACUGGGGCGGUCUCCUCCUAAAGAGUAACGGAGGAGCACGAAGGUUGGCUAAUCCCGGUCGGACAUCAGGAGGUUAGUGCAAUGGCAUAAGCCAGCUUGACUGCGAGCGUGACGGCGCGAGCAGGUGCGAAAGCAGGUCAUAGUGAUCCGGUGGUUCUGAAUGGAAGGGCCAUCGCUCAACGGAUAAAGGUACCCGGGGAUAACAGGCUGAUACCGCCCAAGAGUUCAUAUCGACGGCGGUGUUUGGCACCUCGAUGUCGGCUCAUCACAUCCCGGGCUGAAGUAGGUCCCAAGGGUAUGGCUGUUCGCCAUUUAAAGUGGUACGCGAGCUGGGUUUAGAACGUCGUGAGACAGUUCGGUCCCUAUCUGCCGUGGGCGCUGGAGAACUGAGGGGGGCUGCUCCUAGUACGAGAGGACCGGAGUGGACGCAUCACUGGUGUUCGGGUUGUCAUGCCAAUGGCACUGCCCGGUAGCUAAAUGCGGAAGAGAUAAGUGCUGAAAGCAUCUAAGCACGAAACUUGCCCCGAGAUGAGUUCUCCCUGACCCUUUAAGGGUCCUGAAGGAACGUUGAAGACGACGACGUUGAUAGGCCGGGUGUGUAAGCGCAGCGAUGCGUUGAGCUAACCGGUACUAAUGAACCGUGAGGCUUAACCU
rnacentral:rRNA from 1 species